rnacentral:rRNA from 1 species
AUUGAACGCUGGCGGCAUGCCUUACACAUGCAAGUCGAACGGCAGCACGGGGCAACCUGGUGGCGAGUGGCGAACGGGUGAGUAAUGCAUCGGAACGUACCUUUCAGUGGGGGAUAACGUAGCGAAAGUUACGCUAAUACCGCAUAUUCUGUGAGCAGGAAAGCAGGGGAUCGCAAGACCUUGCGCUGAUUGAGCGGCCGAUGGCAGAUUAGCUAGUUGGUGAGGUAAAGGCUCACCAAGGCGACGAUCUGUAGCGGGUCUGAGAGGAUGAUCGGCCACACUGGAACUGAGACACGGUCCAGACUCCUACGGGAGGCAGCAGUGGGGAAUUUUGGACAAUGGGGGCAACCCUGAUCCAGCCAUGCCGCGUGAGUGAAGAAGGCCUUCGGGUUGUAAAGCUCUUUCGGCCGGGAAGAAAUCGCACGGGCUAAUACCCUGUGUGGAUGACGGUACCGGAAUAAGAAGCACUGGCUAACUACGUGCCAGCAGCAGCCGCGGUAA